AUGUUGUCGUCGUCUCCGCCGUGCUACGCGCCCGUGCCCUGGGAUGACCUGCCAAUGCAACACGCGGAUGCCCCCGUGUCCACCGUCGCCGCCACGGCCGUCGGCGCCGGGGAGCACAUCCUCAGGGUCGAGGGCUACUCGCGGCUCAAGACCAUGCACGGCAGCGACGGCGGCUACCUGGAGUCCGCCGUGUUCAUGGCGGCGGGCCACGCCUGGCGGGUCUGCUGCUACCUCAACGGGGCGCGCCCGCAGGACGCCGGCUUCGUUUCGGUGUUUCUCAGGCGCGACGACGACGAUGCUGACGCCGAUGCCGACGAGAACGUCGUCCACGCCGAGUACGAGUUCGCUCUAGUGCACCACCAAGGGACGCUGGUAAAGUGGCCGUCACACUGCGAACGCGGGACCGCCUCUGCCUUCGACAAGGGCAACUCCUGGGGCUGCCCGCGGUUCAUCAGCAAGGAGGACCUGAAGCGUUCCAGGUUCCUCAAGGGUGACUGCUUGGCCGUCCGGUGCAAGGUCACCGUCGUCCAGGUCUAG
rnacentral:rRNA from 1 species